ensembl:misc_RNA Metazoa_SRP Metazoan signal recognition particle RNA
GCCAGGCAUGGUGGUGUAUGCUUGUAAUCCUAGCUACUCAGGAGGCUGAGACACAGAAUCGCUUGAGCCUGGGAGUCUGAGGUUGCAGUGAGCCGAGAUCAUGCCACUGCACUCCAGCCCAGGCGACAGAGCAAGACUCUGUCUCAA